UGAGGAAUUUUCCGCAAUGGGGGCAACCCUGACGGAGCAACGCCGCGUGCAGGAUGAAGGUCUUCGGAUCGUAAACUGCUUUUAUCGGGGAAGAGAACGGACGGUACCCGAUGAAUAAGCCCCGGCUAACUACGUGCCAGCAGCCGCGGUAAUACGUAGGGGGCGAGCGUUAUCCGGAAUUACUGGGCGUAAAGCGCAUGCAGGCGGUUGGAAAAGUUUCGGCUGACAAUCUUCGGCUUAACCGAAGAAGGCGUCGGAAAACUCUCCAACUUGAGACAUCGAGAGGCAGAUGGAAUUCCGUGUGGAGCAGUGAAAUGCGUAGAGAUGCGGAAGAACACCAGAGGCGAAGGCGAUCUGCUGGCGAUGUUCUGACGCUAAGAUGCGAAAGCUAGGGGAGCGAACAGGAUUAGAUACCCGGGUAGUCC
rnacentral:rRNA from 1 species